rnacentral:rRNA from 1 species
UUCUGGUUGAUCCUGCCGGAGGCUACCGCUAUUGGAGUUCGAUUAAGCCAUGCGAGUCGAGAGUCUUAGGGACUCGGCGUACCGCUCAGUAACACGUGGGUAACCUGCCCUAUGCUGGGGAAUAACCUCGGGAAACUGAGAAUAAUGCCCCAUAGUUCACUACGCCUGGAACGGUGAGUGGAUGAAAGCUCCGGCGGCAUAGGAUGGGCCUGCGGCGUAUCAGGUCGUAGGGGGUGUAACGUACCCUCUAGCCAUCGACGCGUACGGGUGUUGGGAGACAUAGCCCGGAGAUGGAUUCUGAGACACGAAUCCAGACCCUACGGGGUGCAGCAGGCGCGAAAACUUGGCAAUGCGAGAAAUCGUGACCAGGGAACUCCAAGUGGCUGGGGUAAGACCCAGUCUUUUCUUGACUCUUCAAAGGUCUUGGAAUAAGAGGUGGGUAAGGACGGUGCCAGCCGCCGCGGUAAUACCGGCGCCUCAAGUGGUAGUCGAUUUUAUUGGGCCUAAAACGUCCGUAGCCUGUUUGGUACAUUCGUGGGUAAAUCAACCAGCUCAACUGGUUGAAUUCUGCGAGCACGGCCAGACUUGGGACCGGGAGAGGUGUGGGGUACGCUCAGGGUAGGGGUAAAAUCCUGUCAUCCUGAGCGGACCACCUGUUGCGAAGGCGCCACACUAGAACGGAUCCGACGGUCAGGGACGAAGCCUAGGGGCACGAACCGGAUUAGAUACCCGGGUAGUCCUAGGUGUAAACGCUGUGGACUUGGUGUUGGGGAUUCUCCGAGGAUUCUCAGUGCCGAAGCGAAGGUGAUAAGUCCACUGCCUGGGGAGUACGGUCGCAAGGCUGAAACUUAAAGGAAUUGGCGGGGGAGCACCGCAACCUGAGGAUUGUGCGGUUUAAU